CAGGCAUGCUCAACCUGUGGCCCUCCAGCUGUUGCAAAACUACAACUCCCAUAAUUCCUGGACAACCUACAGCAGGCCAUGGAGGGAGUUGUAGUUUUACAACAGCUGGAGGGCCGCAGGUUGAGCAUCGCUGCUUUAAGUGAAUGGAGCUGAGUUGCGAUACCAAGCA